rnacentral:rRNA from 1 species
AGCAGCCGCGGUAAUUCCAGCUCCAAUAGCGUAUAUUAAAGUUGUUGCAGUUAAAAAGCUCGUAGUUGAAUUUCAGGCCUGGCUGGACGGUCCGCCCUUCGGGUGAGUACUGUCUGUGGUCGGGUCCUACCUUCUGGCGAAGCGUCAUGGCCUUAACCGGCCGUGGCGGGGAACCAGGACUUUUACUGUGAAAAAUUAGAGUGUUCAAAGCAGGCAAUCGCUUGGAUACAUUAGCAUGGAAUAAUGGAAUAGGACAAUGGUUCUAUUUGUUGGUUUCUAGGACCGUUGUAAUGAUUAAUAGGGAUAGUUGGGGGCAUUAGUAUUCAAUUGUCAGAGGUGAAAUUCUUGGAUUUAUUGAAGACUAACUACUGCGAAAGCAUUUGCCAAGGAUGUUUUCAUUAAUCAAGAACGAAAGUUAGGGGAUCGAAGACGAUCAGAUACCGUCGUAGUCUUAACCA